AACGAAAGUGAGGGAGAUGUGGUUGGCAGUCUAUCGUCUAAGUUAUGGAAGGUGAAGUUGCCUGGAAUGGCACAGCCAGAGAGGGUGAAAGUCCCGUAACCGUACAUAAUAUGACCACGUGACUGUCAAAGAGUAGCAUGCGUUGGAAAUCGCGUGUGAAUAUAGGAGGCAUAAACUUCUAAUCCUAAAUACAGUUCGAGACCGAUAGUUUACAAGUAACGUGAGUGAAAGCUGAAAAGUAUCCUUAGCGGGAUGUGAAAAGAACGUGAAACCAGUUGGGUACAGGCUGAUAGGGCGUGAAAGCGAAGAUAUGAGCAGCGUCCUAUCGUGCGUUUAGAAAAAUGCCCCAGGGAGUUUUGAUCAAUGGCGAGGUUAAGGGGUUGAUCCCCGAAGCCGGAGGGAAACCGACAAGUCCGCAGCCUUAGGGUGAGGGACGAAGUGUGCUCGCUUGGAGUCAAUGGUGGAGGACCUGAAGCCCGACGAUCUAUGCCUGGCCAGAUUGAAGCCCGUUGAAAGAUGGGUGGAGGAUCGAACCGUUGCUGAUCUGCAAAUCGCUCGGACGAGCUGGGUAUAGGGGUGAAAGUCCAAUCGAGUUGGGCAAUAGCAGGUUCCGCGUGAAAGUACUCGUAGGUACACGUUAGUGGAGAUUGAUUACGCUGUAGAGCACUGAUUGUGCGUUUAGGGGGAGCGAUUCCUCGGCGUGCUGCCAAACUCCGAAGGUGUAAUCGUUGUAGAUACUAGCAGUGAGUGAUGGUGGGUAAGCUACCAUUACGUAAGGUGAACAAACCAGCCUGAAGUUAAGGUCCCUAAAUAUCAAUUAAGUGUCACAGACAAACCGUGUCCGUGGUCGAAAACAACCAGAAGGUGGGCUUAGAAGCAGCCAUCCUUGAAAGAGUUCGUAACAGAUCACUAGUCUAGCUUGCGGGCCGGGAAAAGGGACGGGGCUAAAAUUGAUUACCGAUACUUCAGACCAUCGAAAGAUGAUGUGGUAACGCGGCGUUGUGUUUGGAUAGAAGGUGGGCUUUAAGGUCCGCUGGACCGAAUACAAAUGAGAGUCUUGGGAAGAGUAGCAGCACAGUGUGGUGAGAAUCCGCACCGCCUUAUAAACCAGGGUUCCUCGGCACUGUUCAUCAGCCGAGGGUUAGCCGGUCCUAAGGUCAUUCUUAACCGAAAUGAUCGAAAGGGAAUUGCGUUAAUAUUCGUAAGCCCCUCUUACAUUAAUGGUGACGGCUUGGGCUAGUUUAUGCGCAUCUGUCAUGGUGCGUCGAAGCGUUCAAUAAUCGAAUGGAGAACCGUAAUGGUGAGAAGUUUGAGAAGACGUGAGCAAAAGAUAGAUGAGGCCUAGGUCCCAUGAAAAACCGUAAGAGGUGAUCGUACCAAGAUCUGACACAGGUACCCAAGGUGAGAAGCCUAAGGUGUGACGGGCAAAGUAUCGUGAAGGAACUCGGCAAAAUCGCUCUGUAACUUCGGGAGAAGGAGUGCCAGGUUCGAGAGAACCUGGUCGCAGUAACAAGGGGACUCCGACUGUUUAAUAAAAACAUAGGCGACUGCUAGAUCGAAAGAUCGUGUAUAGUCGCUGAAUCCUGCUCAGUGCCGGUAUCUGAAAUCGGGUUUCAACCUGACGAAGGACCAGUAAACAGCGGGGGUAACUAUGACCCUCUUAAGGUAGCGUAAUACCUUGUCGCUUAAUUGGCGACUUGCAUGAAUGGUCCAACGAGGGCUCCACUGUCCCCGCGAUAAGUCCGGCGAAAUUGACUUUACUGGCGCACAGUCCAGUACAUUCUACCCGCAAGCGAAGACCCCAUAGAGCUUUACUGCAGCCUGUCGUUGCAUUGUCGCUUUCCAUGUACUGUGUAGGUGGGAGACGUUGAUCCCUGAGACGCUAGUCUCGGGGUUAGUCGAAACAAGAGACACCACCCUUGGAAGGUAACAAUGCUAACUCUUUAUGAGAACACCGAUUGGUGGGCAGUUUGGGUGGGGCGCCACGCGCUCGAAAACCUAACAAGCGUGCCCAAUGGUCAGCUUAAGUGGUUCAGCACUCCACUGUUAACUGUAAGGGGAAAAGCUGGCUUGACGUGGAUCGGCACAAUAACGAUCGACGAUGCGAAAGCAGGGCCUAACGAACCUACCAGCCUCAUUUCU
rnacentral:rRNA from 1 species